rnacentral:rRNA from 1 species
UACAGAGGUGGCAAGCGUUGUUCGGAAUUACUGGGCGUAAAGGGCGCGUAGGUGGCCUUUUGAGUCAGACGUGAAAUCCCCCGGCUUAACCUGGGAACUGCGUCUGAUACUGGAAGGCUUGAGUUCGGGAGAGGGAUGUGGAAUUCCAGGUGUAGCGGUGAAAUGCGUAGAUAUCUGGAGGAACACCGGUGGCGAAGGCGGCAUCCUGGACCGAAACUGACACUGAGGCGCGAAAGCUAGGGGAGCAAACGGU